ACCCGCCAUGCUAAUUAGGUAUAAGCGUUCGACUCAUAAUCGAAGGAUAGGGGGUUCGAAUCCCUCGGCGGGUACCA
rnacentral:tRNA from 1 species